GAACGGCAGCACAGAGGAGCUUGCUCCUUGGGUGGCGAGUGGCGGACGGGUGAGGAAUACAUCGGAAUCUACUCUGUCGUGGGGGAUAACGUAGGGAAACUUACGCUAAUACCGCAUACGACCUACGGGUGAAAGCAGGGGAUCUUCGGACCUUGCGCGAUUGAAUGAGCCGAUGUCGGAUUAGCUAGUUGGCGGGGUAAAGGCCCACCAAGGCGACGAUCCGUAGCUGGUCUGAGAGGAUGAUCAGCCACACUGGAACUGAGACACGGUCCAGACUCCUACGGGAGGCAGCAGUGGGGAAUAUUGGACAAUGGGCGCAAGCCWGAUCCAGCCAUACCGCGUGGGUGAAGAAGGCCUUCGGGUUGUAAAGCCCUUUUGUUGGGAAAGAAAUCCAUCAGGUUAAU
rnacentral:rRNA from 1 species